UCCCUGGUGGUCCAGUGGGUAAGACUCUGCACUCCCAAUGCAGGGGGCCCGGGUUCAAUCCCUGGUCAGGGAA